UUUUUUUUUUUUUUUGGAUAGAGUUUGCUUUAAUUCAUCUACUCUUUUCUUUAGUUGCCCAGGCUUUUGGUGUCAUAUCUAAGAAUCCUUUGGCAAUGGCAAGAUCACAAAGGCCUACCCCUAUGUUUUUCUAUAAGAGUUUCACUAUUUUUUUUUUUGUCUUUUUGCUAUUUUUGGGGGCCACUCCCGCGGCAUAUGGAGAUUUUAAAAAUAUGCUAAGCCUGAUUUCCCAUCAUGGCUAAGUGGUUAGCGAACCUGACUAGCAUUCAUGAGAACGCAGGUUAGAUCCCUGGCCUUGCUCAGUGGGUUAAGGAUCCAGUGUUGCCAUGAGCUGUGGUGUGGGUCGCAGAUGCGGCUUGGAUCCCCUGUUGCUGUGGCUGUGGUGUAGGCCAGUGGCUACAGUUGUGACUGGUCCCCUAGCCUGGGAACCUCCAUAUGCCAAGGGUGCAGCACCAAAAAGACAAAAAGACCAAAAAAAAAAAAAAUGCUUAGCCUGAAGGGCUUCUGAGUUCUAAAAACAGGCAGAGCCAUCUGUACGCAUGUGGACAUUAAUAAAUGAGGCUGGAGCAAGAGGGAAAGCAACGUGGAUGGUUAAAAGCCCAGAAUGCCUGGCACGGACAUGUGGAGGUGUCGUCCGACCUGAAGAAGGCGAGACUCGACUCGGCCCUAGCAUCUUGGCCCCGGCACUGGAGCAGCCUGCUCACCCAGCUUGCUAGCUCACAUCCCCCGACUCCAUGGCCCCGGGAGGCUCAGAGGGCCCUGGAUGGCCCCUGUCAUAGCUGAGGAGUAGCCAGGCAGUGGCCCACCUGGCUUCUGCCAGGGCCUCACCAAGUUUCUCAAGAACAUCGAGUUCUCCACACCAGGGCCCUGGGGGCAGGGCCUGCUUCAACCAUCCUCAAGGCUCCAAAAUAAACAGGUUCCCAAACCAAACUGCUAUUUUCAGCUCUCGCAGCCAGAGCUGUAUCACAAUUCAUAAAGGUCCCCAAUGCUGGGGUCAGGGGACCAUGCUCCAACCAGAUGGAGUCACACCCCUGGAGCUGGACUACCUUCUAGAGCUCUGCCCAUCGUCCCCUAGAAAUAGCCUGACACAGGCUCUCCCUCGGAUGUUCUAGGAAGCUCUCCAAGGCACAGCUGUCACACAAAGGUGCGGAAACAGUGGCAGCAACCAAGUGCCCCACAGAGAAAGAUGAAGCAUGAUACAAGAGAUUCCAAGGCCACACCAAGGCUGCUGUAGAAUCAUCUUCCCAUACAUGGCUGGACCAUGCAACCUUAGGAGAGAGGCACAAGGUCACACACACUUAGGGCUCCCUACCUGGCAAGGAACAGAAAGCCCCUCAAAGAGGUGGCAGGAGCAAACUCCAUGAAGGGGCCGCCACAGAAGCACAGGCAAGGGUGGGGAGCUGCCCACCCCAGUCCUCUGGAACAGGGGGCGCUUACAGACCCCAAAGGCUUGCCAGGAGCCCCUCAGCAGGAGCUGCGGAUGGAGGGAGGGACACCCCAGUCUCUCUCCAUCCUGCCCGUGCCUCUCAAGUGAGUCAACAGGACCUGGAGGGCAUCCUCCCAGGCCUGGACCUCGGCAGGGGAUGGGAAGUGAGCACAGAGCCGGUCCAUCGGAGGGGGGCUGGAGGGGGGGGUCCUCUCACAGAAUCAGACCACAGUCAAUCAGUGCACUCUUACACACGCUCACCCCUCAUCCUGCCCCUUCCCCAAGUUGCUGACCUUUGGGUCCCCCGGCCUGGAAUAGCUUAUGACGCAGGACACAGGGUGUUGCUCAGGAGGUGAAGUGAACCAGGUGCAGACCUGCACGGGCUGUUGGAGCCCAGCAUGGGCACAGAGCUCCAGCAUCCAGACAGCAGCCCACACUGCAGGCCAGUGAAGAGGAUUUUCACUUUGCUCUUAGCACUUCUUUUUUUCCUGACCAACCAAAGUGAACAUGGCACAGGUUUGUUGGCUGGCUUGCUUUGUUUUUUUUUUUAAAGUAACUUUCCUGAAUGGUGCAACCACCCCCAUCCAUCAGUUUGCAAACAUUUUCUUCCAGUAAGACCCCUCGUGCCCAGUUACAUGCACUUCACCCCUUUCCCAUCACCAGCCACCAGGCUUUUCUGUCCGGCUUCUUUCUUGGGCACCACAUUUUUCAGGUUCACCCAUGACACAGGAUGUAUCUGCAGCCCACUCCUUUUUAGGGGCUGAGUAGUAUUCCACUGUGCAUAUGCAGCACAUGUUGUCUGUGUAUUCACACUGUCCCCUAGGGCUUUACCACUCUGAAGCCGCUGAGAGGAGCCCUGCUCUCCAGAAAGACAGAGCAGGGGCACCUCCACAGCUGGGCCAGCAGCCUGGGACCGAGCCAGCUCCAAACCUGGCUCAUUCCAGCCCCUUCCCCUACCUUGUGCCUGAUCACUAUGAUUUACUUAGCAUUCUCCUU
rnacentral:lncRNA from 1 species